CGUUAUUUUCAAUUUCAUUUCAUAAUACAAGUGUCGGCAAACAAUUACUGAUCCUUUUUGUCCAGUAAAGCCCAGGAAAGCACAUUAAAACCUCACCUAAACUGCAGGUUGAAAAUCCCAUAAGGACGGAAAGCAUGUGGCAAGUACGUCACAUUGUCGUUCGUUCCUCUGCUGGUCGCACUCCAGAAACUCUUGAAACAGGAUCUGACGAGAGGAAGGACACCGAGCAGAAG